rnacentral:rRNA from 1 species
AAACUCAAAGGAAUUGACGGGACCGCACAAGCGGUGGAUGAUGUGGUUAAUUCGAUGCAACGCGAAAAACCUUACCCACCUUUGACAUGUACGGAAUCCUUUAGAGAUAGAGGAGUGCUCGAAAGAGAGCCGUAACACAGGUGCUGCAUGGCUGUCGUCAGCUCGUGUCGUGAGAUGUUGGGUUAAGUCCCGCAACGAGCGCAACCCUUGCCAUUAGUUGCUACGAAAGGGCACUCUAAUGGGACUGCCGGUGACAAACCGGAGGAAGGUGGGGAUGACGUCAAGUCCUCAUGGCCCUUAUAGGUGGGGCUACACACGUCAUACAAUGGCUGGUACAAAGGGUUGCCAACCCGCGAGGGGGAGCCAAUCCCACAAAGCCAGUCGUAGUCCGGAUCGCAGUCUGCAACUCGACUGCGUGAAGUCGGAAUCGCUAGUAAUCGUGGAUCAGAAUGUCACGGUGAAUACGUUCCCGGGUCUUGUACACACCGCCCGUCACACCAUGGGAGCGGGUUCUGCCAGAAGUAGGUAGCCUAACCGCAAGGAGGGCGCUUACCACGGCAGGGUUCGUGACUGGGGUGAAGUCGUAACAAGGUAACC